GAUGAACGCUGGCGGCGUGCCUAAUACAUGCAAGUCGAGCGAACAGACGAGGAGCUUGCUCCUCUGACGUUAGCGGCGGACGGGUGAGUAACACGUGGAUAACCUACCUAUAAGACUGGGAUAACUUCGGGAAACCGGAGCUAAUACCGGAUAAUAUAUUGAACCGCAUGGUUCAAUAGUGAAAGACGGUUUUGCUGUCACUUAUAGAUGGAUCCGCGCCGCAUUAGCUAGUUGGUAAGGUAACGGCUUACCAAGGCGACGAUGCGUAGCCGACCUGAGAGGGGGGCGGGCCACCCGGAAAGUGACACACGGUCCAAACCCAAACGGGAGGCAGGGGGAGGGAAUCUUCCGAAAUGGGGGAAAGCCUGAGGGAGAAACGCAGGGGGAGGGAAGAAGGUCUUCGGUUUGUAAACCUUUGUUAUUGGGGAAGAAAAAAUGUGGAAGUAACUAGGCCCGUCUUAAGGGACCCAAAUAAGAAAGCCCCGGUAAACUCGGU
rnacentral:rRNA from 1 species